GUACACUCCUGCGGGAGGCAGCAGUGGGGAAUAUUGCACAAUGGGCGGAAGCCUGAUGCAGCAACGCCGCGUGCGGGAUGACGGCCUUCGGGUUGUAAACCGCUUUCGCCUGUGACGAAGCGUGAGUGACGGUAAUGGGUAAAGAAGCACCGGCUAACUACGUGCCAGCAGCCGCGGUGAUACGUAGGGUGCGAGCGUUGUCCGGAUUUAUUGGGCGUAAAGGGCUCGUAGGUGGUUGAUCGCGUCGGAAGUGUAAUCUUGGGGCUUAACCCUGAGCGUGCUUUCGAUACGGGUUGACUUGAGGAAGGUAGGGGAGAAUGGAAUUCCUGGUGGAGCGGUGGAAUGCGCAGAUAUCAGGAGGAACACCAGUGGCGAAGGCGGUUCUCUGGGCCUUUCCUGACGCUGAGGAGCGAAAGCGUGGGGAGCGAACAGGCUUAGAUACCCGUGUAGUCCCAUGAU
rnacentral:rRNA from 1 species